UGACCAGCCACACUGGGACUGAGACACGGCCCACACUCCUACGGGAGGCAGCAGUGGGGAAUCUUGCGCAAUGGGCGAAAGCCUGACGCAGCCAUGCCGCGUGAAUGAUGAAGGUCUUAGGAUUGUAAAAUUCUUUCACCGGGGACGAUAAUGACGGUACCCGGAUAAGAAGCCCCGGCUAACUUCGUGCCAGCAGCCGCGGUAAUACCAAGGGGGCUAGCGUUGCUCGGAAUUACUGGGCGUAAAGGGCGCGUAGGCGGAUCGUUAAGUCAUAGGUGAAAUCCCAGGGCUCAACCCUGGAACUGCCUUUGAUACUGGCGAUCUUGAGUACGAGAGAGGUAUGUGGAACUCCGAGUGUAGAGGUGAAAUUCGUAGAUAUUCGGAAGAACACCAGUGGCGAAGGCGACAUACUGGCUCAUUACUGACGCUGAGGCGCGAAAGCGUGGGGAGCAAACAGGAUUAGAUACCCUGGUAGUCCACGCCGUAAACGAUGAUUGCUAGUUGUCGGGCUGCAUGCAGGUCGGUGACGCAGCUAACGCAUUAAGCAAUCCGCCUGGGGAGUACGGUCGCAAGAUUAAACUCAAAGGAAUUGACGGGGGCCCGCACAAGCGGUGGAGCAUGUGAUUUAAUUCGAAGCAACGCGCAGACCUUACCACCUU
rnacentral:rRNA from 1 species